ensembl:lncRNA
UUUGAUUGGAUGGGCUCUGGUCACCUGCCCACAAUGUGGAAUUGUAGGGGUAAGGGGAGGAUCAGCUCCACCUGAAUCCUAGGAGCAGAGUUAUGUGUCAGUUUGCUAGCUCUGCUAUGACAAACUACCACAGAAGGGGUGUCUUAAGUAACAAGAAGUUAUCUCCCCACUGUAUGGAGACAGGAAGUCCAAGAUCAAGAUCUUGUUAGGUAUCCUUUGGACAUGUUCAAGAUUCUGUUAGUUUUACAACCCUGGAAAUUCAUCCACGUAAGAAACUAUUUGCUAAGAGGAGCCUGGAGUCCUCUAGACCAGUAGUUACACAGCAUAAAAUGGUGUCUUCCCUACUGGACUCCCCAGGUGGUGCCAUGGUAAAGAAUCUGCCUGCUAAUGCAGGAGACACAAGAGAUGCGGGUGCAGUCACUGACUCAGGAAAAUCCCCUGGAGAAGGAACUGGCAGCCCAUUCCAGUAUUCUUGCCUGGAGAAUCCCAUGGACAGAGGAGUCUGGCAGGCUGCAAUCCAUGGGGUCAUAAAGAGUUGGACACGACUGAAAAGACAAACACACACACAUCCUCCCUAUGCAUGUGUGCUGAGAACAAGAUGUUUUGUUUUUAGGGUGUUUUUUUUAAAACUACUCUGUUUAAUUGUUAAAAAAAAAACCCACCCGCACAUUGUAGAUGAUCAAUAAAUAUCUAUGA